rnacentral:piRNA from 1 species
UGUCUGCAAGAACCUGUCCUGAACUUGUC